GUAUGCCAGUUUGCCAAUGGCAACAAAGUGUGGGAAUGGACCCCUCGCACUUCCUGCAAACUGAGUUCAGUGCACCUCACAUCCUGCAUGGCCCAAAUUCAGCACCAGCAGGAUAUUCAUUGGCCUGCUUUGUGUAUGUGUGACUGCAGCCGGAUACGAAUACCGUAGUCUAGCAAUACAUUCUACACCCUCCCAUUGGGGAGAACUCCCUCAUGAAGAGUAGAUGGAUUUGCAUUGAGUUAACAUGUAGGAGCUCAAACGUCGAGUGGUCUUCCACUGUAGUUCUAACAGCUACUCCCAGCAGGGCUGUGAGAAAGAUGUAAGUGGAGAAGCAAGGACACACCUGCCUCCUCCGUCCAUCCCUCCAGGAAUGGAAGAUCCUCCAUGAUGGCAGUGGAACCAUUUCCCGGUCAUGGGAGGAGAGAGGAAGCACAAGACAGCACCGUCGCCUGGCUGGACUCACAAUCGACUGAUGACAUGUGGCCGCUGAACAUCAGGGUGACUUCUAUCUUCCAGCCUGUGGCCUUCAUGACAGGAGGCUGUGUGUGCAGCCUCCUUCACAGAGAGGAGGAGGAGGAGGAGGAGGAGGAGAGACAGGCAGGGUCUGAGGAGCACUGACCCGUCUGCACUGUGCUGCCCCCUGUUGAAGGCUGCUGGCUGUUGUGAUGACGUCAGCACUGAGCUGCUGUUCUGACUGGAGCUUAUGAAAGCACGUGACAGCUGAACACAGUUUGUUUACUAAGUUUACAUCUCUGGAAGUAAACACACCUUUGAUUCUAACUAGCAGAUGUAGUAAUAAUAAUAAUAAUAAUGAUGAUGAUGAUGAUGAUGAUGAUGAUGAUGAUGAUAAUAAUAAUCUUAUAUACUCUGCAUGUGCAUUUAUGAGGAAAAACAUUCUUUAUUUUGCAAGCAUGUAAUAAAAUGAUCUUCAUGAUAUUGUGUGUAUUAAUUGAAAAGGCCUGUCCACUAAACUCAGUCAUAGCACGAGGACACAUGGACACGUGAGGGAUUGUUUAAUACGUUUGUCUCAUCUUGACUAAAUGUGAACAUAGUGGAAGCAUGAGAACAGAUGAUUCCUCCCUGCGCGCUGAUAUGAAGGCUGCUGUCUGGAACAAAGGCCUCUGCUCUCCUGGCACACAAGGGGUUAAGGUGCGCGAACGCCCGAGUUGGCGUUGGAGGUAUUUCACGCGCAGUGAUUAACGAUAUUGAUUGACGAAACAUGCGGAAUUGUAAUGUUUUACUACCAAGGAGGAACAAAGAGCCGGGCUCUCCUCCUCUAACUGAUCAGCAGUGGCGCUGAAAUAAUGUAAUUAACUACAGUAAAGGCUUUGCGCGCGGAACGACCCGAAUCAUUAACUACUAACUACUUGUUUUAAGAAAAUGAAAAGUGCCUGAAUCCACAAGCGCCUAAAUGAUGAUUGAGGUCGACAAAGCGCCUGCCCGCAAGAAAACAAGUCUGUCCAAAUGUGGCUCAGAAGAAAGGGGAGUCCGCUUUCAACCUGAUCACAAACUUGGUUUUGAAGGGAGAGUGCCCCGCCCUCCUGGUCCUUAUAACCAGAAAGCCUGUUUGCAGGACGCUCAAACAUAACAGGAACACCGGAGACCACAUCGACGUGCAUGAACCAGUCCUGGAGACGAACUCUGGCUACAAAGACUUUACGGAUUACGCUGGUUGUUUCGCCUUUUUGAUCGCAAG
rnacentral:lncRNA from 1 species